CGCAGCUUCGUCAAAUUCAGGACUUCCCACUCAAUGGUUACUCCUGGCCAAUGGGCUGCUACAGUAAACAUGUAGUUCAUGGGCCUCAUGUUCUUCUACACAGAAUAUGGGGAUAAAAUUGUGCUACAGACAACA